UAAAGUUGUUGCAGUUAAAAAGCUCGUAGUUGAAUUUAGGCCUGACCGGGCGGUCCGUCUCUGGCGAGUACUGUCCUGUUGUCGGGUCUAUCCUUCUGGUGAGCCGAUAUGUCCUUUAUUGGGUGUGUCGGGGAACCAGAGCCAUUACCUUGAAAAAAUUAGAGUGUUUAAAGCGGGCUUUUGCUUGAAUAGAUUAGCAUGGAAUAAUAAAANAGGACGUUGGUUCUAUUUUGUUGGUCUAGGACCACCGUAAUGAUUAAUAGGG
rnacentral:rRNA from 1 species